CGUGACGUCUCUCGCGUGACCUCACCGAGGUGGAGCGAGGGGGCGGGGAGUGGCAAAGAGGAAAGGGACCGCUCGGCGGCUGAGGGUGACUCCUGGCCUGACCUUCUCCUCUCUCCGCCCCCACUUUCAAGGGGAGGAGUUAAAGUCCGGGGUUUGGGGAGAAGCUCCGGGAUCUUGGUCCACCGCAACUCCACCAUUUUGCAGCUUUCCGACUUGGCACCCCUAGAGUCUGGCUGAAAGCUUCCCGUGCUAAUAAAAUGGGCUCAAAGAGAAAAUACAUCUAAGAGAAGACAUUUCAAGAAUGAGUAAUUGCUCCUUUUCAGUAAAGAGUUACUCGAAACCACCCUGCCAAACCUGUUCUGCCUUGUUGAUUGUGCUUGAACAGGCUUCUUCCUGCUACCAUGACCUGUUGAUGCAACUGCCCUAGAUUAAUAAAGAGUUUCAGAAAAAGAACUUGUCCCCCAGA